UACAGAGGGUGCAAGCGUUGUUCGGAAUUAUUGGGCGUAAAGCGCGUGUAGGCGGCUUUGCAGGUCGGGUGUGAAAGCCCUCAGCUCAACUGAGGAAGUGCGCCCGAAACUGCAGAGCUUGAGUGCCGGAGAGGGUGGCGGAAUUCCCCAAGUAGAGGUGAAAUUCGUAGAUAUGGGGAGGAACACCGGUGGCGAAGGCGGCCACCUGGACGGUAACUGACGCUGAGACGCGAAAGCGUGGGGAGCAAAAGGG
rnacentral:rRNA from 1 species